GCUGCUGGAUCCAUCCCUUCAUGUGUACUCUUUGGCCUUCAUGAGUGAGAGAGGUGGAGCUGGGGCUGGUCGGACCAGUCUGUCUGGAAUCCAGAUGGGGAUUCUGCAUUCUGUGGAAAAACACGUGCAUAUCCUCUUCCUGAGGUGAUUCAGACAUUGGGCCCCUCCAGGCACUGGUCAAAAGGUCCUUCCAUUUCACUAAAGGUUGUGCUUUAAAAACCA